UAAUUUUCAGCAAAGAUUUCAAAUCUCAUACUAAAAAUCUAGAAACCAUAUUUCUAACUUUGCAAGAAGCCAACAUAAAAUGUACAUUAGACAAAUGCAAGUUUUACAAAAACCAAGUUGAAUUCCUCGGAUUUGUUAUAUUUGAAAAAAGUAUCGAAACUAACCCGAACAAGGUCAUGGCAUUUGCCAAUUAUCCCCAACCAAACACGAUAAAAGAUCUACGGGGGUUUCUUUGACUUGCCGGAUAUUACCGAAGGUUUAUAAGAGAUUUUGCUAAGAUCGCUAAGCCUCUUAGCUCUCUAUUAAGAGGGGAAGACGGACGAGUGUCCAAAAAAGAGUCCAGGAAAAAACUUAUUGACAUGAAUCCUUUACCAAAAUUAAAACCGCUCUUCUAUCAGACGAAGUUAUCUUGCGAUAUCUUGAUUUUAAAAAGGAAUUUCAUUUAACCACGGAUGCUUCUAACUAUGCCAUAGGUGCAGUAUUGUUACAAGGAGAGAGACCUUGUAACAAUUGUAUUCAUUUCUAGGACCUUGUCGAGAGCCGAAAAGAACUACGCCACCACUGAGAAGGAGAUACUUGCCAUCAUCUUUAAAAUCACUCAGAAACUACUUAGUAAAAAGGUUGAAGCAUAUCUCGAAGAAUACGACUAUGAAUUAUUGUAUAAACUAGGGAAAACGAAUGUAGUAGCAGAUGCGUUAUCGAGAAGUGGACCGAUUAAUUCAAUAACGUCAACACAAUAUAGGGCAAGCUCAGAUUACUAAUGCUGCAUUUGAGACCAGCAAAUGGGUUUAUGGAAAUAACAAACAUCACCAACGCACAGACAAUAACUAUUUUCGAAUCUUUAAGGGUAUAGGGAAAGUGCAAGUUUCCGCACCUACAAUGGUCCAUGUAAUUGACCAAAAGCAGAUAGAAACCACCCUCAAUAAAUUACGCGAUUACCCAAAUAAUGAUCUCAAAACAAAUACUCUAUAUAAUACCUUGAACCACGAAUUAGAACUUGUCCCCACAAAUUUCAAAGCAAAUUUCAUAAACUGUAUUGGAUCGGCCUGGAAGUAUGUGGCCGGUACCCCCGAUCAUAAUGAUCUUAACGCGAUAGAAAAUAAUUUCGAUUAUCUAAUUUCAAAUAACGAUUAGCAGAUCAUAAUAAAUAGGCAGUUGGAACAAAGAAUAAAUAAACUUACAAAGAUAUCAAAUGAUUUAACGAAUGCUGUCAGAAAGGAUAGUUUUUUAAGCAACGAAAUAGCCAUUAGUUUUCAGAAUCAAGUAAGAUUUAUAAAGAAAGAAAUUAUAAAUAUUAGGUUCGCAAUACAAUGGUCAAGAGUAAAUAUAAUAAAUUCAUUUUUACUCAAUGAAGAAGAAUUAAAAAAAAAUAAGUCAAAAUUUUAAAAAUUGUAACCUACCACCACUAACAAUAGAGGAAUCAUUGGAGUUUUCGGACGUCUCCAUAUUGCAUAAUAAAACUUUAUUGCUCUACUUUGUAAAAAUCCCUAUACUCGAAUCAAUAGAUUAUGAAAAUAUUAUAAUUAAGCCGAUCAAGAAAAAUAAUAAUGUAAUCUCAGUUCCACUUCAGACCUCACAGAGUAAAGACGUGCAACUACAGACGUUUAUCCAAACCAUCAGCUUCAAGUGCUUAUCUGCAAUAUUUUGCACAAAAAAACAAGUGUCCAAAAGAGAUAAAAAAAAACCAACAACAAAUACCGAUCACGCGAUCAUAAAACUAAGAACAGGGGCUCGCCCCACCAAACCAAAAUGCUGCCACCAGACAAAAACAAGCUUUUUUCCAAAAGCAAAACCAUAGAACAAAAAUAUGUAGUUAUCAAAAGAAAAGACAAUAUAUCCCUAGAACACACCAACCCUUUCAUUAUUAAAAAAUCAAUUGACUACACCUGCGGAGGUGAAGUCGAUAAGUGUAAAACAACAAGAGCUGGCACACUCC